UACGUAGGGGGCGAGCGUUAUCCGGAUUCACUGGGUGUAAAGGGAGCGUAGACGGCCAAGCAAGCCAGGGGUGAAAGCCCGGGGCCCAACCCCGGGACUGCCCUUGGAACUGCAUGGCUGGAGUGCGGGAGGGGCAGGCGGAAUUCCUGGUGUAGCGGUGAAAUGCGUAGAUAUACGGAGGAACACCAGUGGCGAAGGCGGCCUGCUGGACAUUAACUGACGCUGAGGCGCGAAAGCGUGGGGAGCAAACAGG
rnacentral:rRNA from 1 species